rnacentral:piRNA from 1 species
UGAGAGCAGCGUAUAAUCUUCUGUCU